UCCGCUUCGUUCUUCGUCUUCUGGUAGGGUUUGGCGGUACUGCUUUUGGAGGAAUACUAAAUGGAGGAGCCAAAGAAAGUGGCUAGGAGAGAUCGUAAGACGAAGGCGGCGAAAGAGCCCAAGGAGGACAUUGAAUCUAGGUUUUUAAGUGCAAAAUCCAUCUAUUGUAGAUGUCGACUUUCUGCAGGAAGAGAUGUUCUCGACAAGGUCCGACCAACCAUUCCUGAGGAGACAUGGACAACAUUGGAAGCAAUGAAUUUAGUCAUGUGUUUUGAUCUUCCUCCGUACCCUCAAGAUCAUAUUCUAACCAUGCACAUAUUGAACUGUUGGUAUAUUGAUCAAACGGUAUUCAUAUUAGGCGAGAAAGAGGUAAGAUUUGAUGCAAACCAGGCUGUUUUGCUUAUUGGUAUGCCCAACAGAGGAGCACUAGCAUAUUGGAAUAAGCUUCCCUUCUGUUGUGUGACUGCGAGACAAAUAAAGAGUGACCUAGUAAAUGUUUCACUCAGGGAGUCCUCUAUUCCAUUCGAAGAACUAUUACUUAAGUUUUUGGUGACAAAUUUACUUUUUCCUUCAAACAAUUUCAGUGUGCCCCAAGAGCUUUACUCAUUUUGUGAGGAUGUACAUUCCUUUUCUUCAUAUAAUUGGCCUAUUACGGUAUGCGACUUUCUCAUUGAGCAAGUAAACGCCUACACAAUGAAAAUAAGGAGGAACCAACCACUAGGAUAUAUUAAUGGUUUUGUAUUUCUUCUAACGCUCUGGUUUUACGAGCGCACAUCAUUGGUCGUCCCUGUUGUUCCUGGGGCUAGACUUCGAAUGUUGUUGUGGCCAUCAAAAGUGAGCUGGAACGCAUCAAAUAUUCAUCUAGCCUUUAAGAGGCUCAAACCUGAAUAGGUUCAUGAAUUGUUUCUGGAUCUGAAAUAUAGUGAGCACCACUUACUCGCCCCUCCAGCUGAAGGACCAUCAAUCCAUGUGAAGCUUCCCUCACACCAUGAUACUCACUCCAUACCACAUUCACCCGAUUAUGUUGAGGUUAAUCCUAUAAAACCCUGCCAUAUCAGUCCCCAACCAAUACAUACCUAUCAAGGCAGUAAUAUUGGAUUAGAGGAAAUAUACCAAAUACUUAGAGAUCAACAGAAAUUUCAUUUUGAAUUUCAAGAAUCAAUUAACAGACGUUUUGUUAAUUUAAAUAUCAGAGUGACAGACUUGCAGUCGCAAGUAAAUAAAUUAGAAAAAGCAAAAAAUGAGCGAGUUGUAAAGUUUCUAAAGAAAUGGAUACAUGAUUCCCAACUAGGCACUUCAAUCCAAAGGGUUAAGGCUAGAGACAAUAGAAAAAAGAGGAAAUUAAAUUCCCCAUUUACAUCAUUUGAGGAGAAUAAAAAAAACAAAAAAAGAAAGUUGAGAAAGACUCCAAGUUUUCAUUAGAUGAUUUAUUUUCACAAAUUGAAAAAUUAGGCGAGAAAGAGGAAGAGACAGCUUCAGAGCAACCACCACUAACAGAAAUUGUUUCACCCAAGCCAAAUGUACAUAUUGACACAGCAGGGCAACUUCAUCUAACACCAUCUGAUAAAGUAGAGGUACAACUCAUUACAGAACCUGAUGAACAGAGUCAAAUAUUUGAUCUUACAUUAGAGGAGGUGGUCGAAGGUGUAAAUAAAGAGGAAGAGCAGCAGGAGGACUCAGGCCCAGAAGUUGUAGAUGACCAUCCAGUUAAGGUUCUACCCGCAUCAUUGGUUAUAGAUUUCCCGCUAGAAGUCAAAUUCCACAGUACAUGCUUGAAGUGAUCGAUCUAUGAUGCAGCAAAUACACUUUCAAGUUAGUGUACCAUCCGUUGAUGUGAUCUACAUUACUUUCCAAGACAAUUCUCACGCUAAAUAUAUUUUUCAAAUGCAAGGAUGAUCUUAUAAUCAUCAUGGGACAUGCAUCAAUGAGUCGACAAGGUCUUGAAGAGUUAUUGAAUAAUGAUUGGUUAGCAAACGAACAUGUAGAUUGUUUUGCAAUGUUAUUAGAAAAGAAGUGUUCCAGAUCACCACAAUUUUAUAGAUCCUACUUAUAUGUGUCUCCACUCUAUUGGGUGUACAGGCAGCAUAACUAUACCCUGUUUGUUCAACACAUUAGGAAGGAGGCAAUAGAAAAAUCGAGUUACUUUUGAUAUCAAUAAUUAAUAAUUAACACUGGACAUUGCUAGUUGGAGGGUUGAAUGACCGCAAAUAGAAAUUGUAUGACUCCUUACCUAACAAUAUCUUUUUGGGGAUUGCUCAUGACGUUAUGAAACAUUUUGUUCAGGAUGUUGGGAAGGCUUUCAAGGGUGAUUUGAGAGCAUGGUCGGUUUCAAUGGUCAAAGACAUUCUGGUCCAAAGCAAUAGCGUUGAUUGCGGGGUAUUCGUAAAUAUGUGGGAACACUUUUACAAAUAGACAGAAGCGAGUGGAGCGAUAAAUUAGGAUGACAGGAUGAUAUGCCAUUGUUUUGAGCAGAAAUAGACUAUGAGAUGUGUAAAUAUGCAUCAUAUCAAACAU